CCGACCUUAGCUCAGUUGGAAGAGCGUGAGACUGUAAUCGGUUGUCUAUCUCAAUGUCGCCUGUUCGAGCCAGGCAGGUCGGA